rnacentral:rRNA from 1 species
GACGAACGCUGGCGGCGUGCUUAACACAUGCAAGUCGAACGGUGAAGCGCCUUCCUUUUUGGUUGGUGUGGAUGAGUGGCGAACGGGUGAGUAACACGUGAGUAACCUGCCCCCUUCUUCUGGAUAACCGCAUGAAAGUGUGGCUAAUACGGGAUAUUCUGGGUCUGUCGCAUGAUGGGUCUGGGACAGAUAUUGUUUCGGUGGGGGAUGGGCUCGCGGCCUAUCAGCUUGUUGGUGGGGUGAUGGCCUACCAAGGCGGUGACGGGUAGCCGGCCUGAGAGGGUGGACGGUCACACUGGGAAUGAGACACGGCCCAGACUCCUACGGGAGGCAGCAGUGGGGAAUAUUGCACAAUGGGCGCAAGCCUGAUGCAGCGACGCCGCGUGAGGGAUGGAGGCCUGCGGGUUGUGAACCUCUUUCGCCAGUGAAGCAGGCCUGCCUCGUUUGUGGGUGGGUUGACGGUAGCUGGAUAAGAAGCGCCGGCUAACUACGUG